UACGGGGGGAGCAAGCGUUGUUCGGAUUUACUGGGCGUAAAGGGCGCGUAGGCGGCUACCGCAAGUCGACUGUGAAAUCUCCGGGCUUAACCCGGAAAGGUCAGCCGAUACUGCGGGGCUAGAGUGCAGAAGGGGCAACUGGAAUUCUCGGUGUAGCGGUGAAAUGCGUAGAUAUCGAGAGGAACACCUGCGGCGAAGGCGGGUAGCUGGGCCGACACUGACGCUGAGGCGCGAAAGCCAGGGGAGCGAACGGG
rnacentral:rRNA from 1 species